rnacentral:sRNA from 1 species
UGCGCCACUUUUGAUGUUGUGAGAUGAGU